rnacentral:rRNA from 1 species
AUUGAACGCUGGCGGCAGGCCUAACACAUGCAAGUCGAGCGAGCGGGGGACGGGUGAGCUAUGUAUGGGAAUCUGCCUGAUGGAGGGGGAUCACUACUGGAAACGGUAGCUAAUAACGUAUACCAUCAGCUGUGCCCAAGUGGGAGUAGCUAGUGGGUGGGGUAAUGGCGCACCUAGGCGACGAUCCCUAGCUGGUCUGAGAGGAGGACCAGCCACACUGGAACUGAGACACGGUCCAGACUCCUACGGGAGGCAGCAGUGGGGAAUAUUGGACAAUGGGCGAAAGCCUGAUACAGCCAUGCCGCGUGUGUGAAGAAGGCCUUCGGAUUGUAAAGCACUUUAAGCUGGGAGGCGUUACCAACAGAAGAAGCACCGGCUAACUCCGUGCCAGCAGCCGCGGUAAUAC